GGGGACGUAAAGGUUUCGACGGGGAUCGUGAAAUCUGGUAAGCGAGUAGAGGCGCUCGACCUCUUAAAAACGGGCAAACUUUCAAGAUAAACGCCGACGAUAGUUACGCGUUUGCGGCUUAAUUAAGCCGCCGUUCUGCCCCGCAGCACCACGGGCGGGAACAGAGCGUCGAUUAGUGGUCAACGUUAACGGCCUGCUCCUCGAAGCCGAUUAACGUAUUAGAGGAUACUAAGGCCCGCAGCCUGUUUGCCGGCGGCGAGCCGAGGGAAUGGGAAAGGACAAACUGCACUCGGAGAAAGCCAGAUGAAUCGGUUUUCGGACGCGGGUUCGAUUCCCGCCGUCUCCACCA
rnacentral:tmRNA from 2 species